GGGCCCUUAGGCCAGUUGGUUAGAGCACUGCGUUUACACCGCAGGUGUCGUCGGUUCGAGUCCGGCAGGGCCCACCA
rnacentral:tRNA from 1 species